AGAGUUUGAUCAUGGCUCAGAAUCAACGCUGGCGGCGUGCCUAACACAUGCAAGUCGAACGAGAAAGUGGAGCAAUCCAUGAGUACAGUGGCGACCGGGUGAGUAACACGUGAUCAACCUACCCUCGAGUGGGGGAUAACUCCGGGAAACCGGAGCUAAUACCGCAUAACAUCUUCGGUCCACAUGAACUGAUGAUCAAAGGAGCAAUUCGCUUGAGGAGGGGGUCGCGGCUGAUUAGCUAGUUGGUAGGGUAAUGGCCUACCAAGGCUUAGAUCGGUAUCCGGCCUGAGAGGGCGCACGGACACACUGGAACUGAAACACGGUCCAGACUCCUACGGGAGGCAGCAGUGGGGAAUUUUGCGCAAUGGGGGAAACCCUGACGCAGCAACGCCGCGUGGAGGAUGAAGUCCCUUGGGACGUAAACUCCUUUCGACCGGGAAGAUACUGACGGUACCGGAUGAAGAAGCACCGGCUAACUCUGUGCCAGCAGCCGCGGUAAUACAGAGGGUGCGAGCGUUGUUCGGAAUUAUUGGGCGUAAAGGGCGCGUAGGCGGCGCGGUAAGUCACCUGUGAAAUCUCCUGGCUCAACUGGGAGCUUGCAGGCGAAACUGCCGUGCUGGAGUGUGGGAGAGGUGCGUGGAAUUCCUGGUGUAGCGGUGAAAUGCGUAGAUAUCAGGAGGAACACCUGUGGCGAAAGCGGCGCACUGGACCACAACUGACGCUGAGGCGCGAAAGCUAGGGGAGCAAACAGGAUUAGAUACCCCAGUAGUCC
rnacentral:rRNA from 1 species